GACGAACGCUGGCGGCGUGCUUAACACAUGCAAGUCGAACGGAAAGGCCCUGCUUUUGUGGGGUUCUCGAGUGGCGAACGGGUGAGUAACACGUGAGUAACCUGCCCUUGACUUUCGGAUAACUUCACGAAACUGGGGCUAAUACCGGAUAUAAGCUCCUGCUGCAUGUUGGGGGUUGGAAAGUUUCGGCGGUUGGGGAUGGACUCGCGGCUUAUCAGCUUGUUGGUGGGGUAGUUGCUUACCAAGGCUUUGACGGGUAGCCGGCCUGAGAGGGGGACCGGCGACAUGGGGACUGAGGGACGGACCAGAAGCCUACGGGAGGCAGCAGGGGGGAGUAUUGCACAAUGGGCGGAAGCCUGAGGCAGAAACGUCGCGUGCGGGAUGACGGCCUUCGGGGUGUAAACAGCUUUCGCAUGUGACGAAGAGUGAGUGACGGUAAUGGGUAAAGAAGCACCGGCUAACUACGUG
rnacentral:rRNA from 1 species